UUUAUAGCGCGCCAAUUAAAAACGCUUUUCUUCUUGUUCUUCGGAAACUCAUGUUUUCACGCGAGGAAAGCAGCAGAUUCUUAUCUGUUUAUGGCUACACGCUGAUCCUUAAACACUUGAAUAUACCUGGACAUAUGCCUAGCAACCAAUCAUUUUCGUUUAGUUCGCAAUCUAUUUUCUCUCAAAACUCUUUUAUUGACUCUGACACGUGGGUUCACAAGCAUCUGUAUUACGAAGUUAUUGGCCUUUUGAAGCGCUUCUUUUCUCAACAAGCGAAAGUUAAAAACCUUUUAUAUGAAAAGUUAUUAAAAGCUGGAC